rnacentral:ribozyme from 14 species
AAUGUAUUACACAAAACACAAAAAACAAAAAACGACUGGUUGGAUUCUCGUUUCUUGCUCUGCUCUACUUGACUCUUUCUCUUUCUUGCUUUCUUGCUUUCUUGCUUUCUUGCUUUCUUUCUCCUCGAUUCCAAU